GGAUGGUGGUGGUGUAUUGAAGUGGGAUCAUUUACUUGGUAGAUAUUGAGUUCUUUAAUAAUAUAUGAGCAUUGCUUGUAUGCCAUAGCCCAGCUAAGGCCAUGUGCAUCCCUCUACAGCCAGAGCCCACCCAUCUUCUAAUGACUACUUCCAGCAGGUCAAUGUGCCACAUCAUCUCCAGCUAGUACCAUGAAAUAAGUAAUGAGUUCAGUGUACUCCAAUGGCCUCUACAAUCACCGGAUCCAAUUCAGUAGAACGCCUUUGGGAUGUGGUGGCAGGGGAGACUUGCAGCAACUGCACCUAGUAAGGAGUGCGAACUGAUGUCGCUCUGCGUGCAUAGAGAAUGGUAGAACACCAAAUAAUAAUAUCUUUUGGACUCCACAGAGGCUGUUGCAACUUUGUGAACCCGGAAUACUGAGUCAAUACCUAUUAGGGAACUACCCCAACAUCCAAGCAAGAAGCAACAGAUACUUUACCAAGAC